rnacentral:lncRNA from 1 species
CGCAUGCGCGGCCUGCCUGUCAGUAACCACGUGAUGGACCCGGAAGCCCGAGGGCAGAUGCUAAAUGAUGGCCAUUUGACAUUUGCGUGUGUUCACUAUGGAUAGUUUUACCAAGUACAUUGAUUUGGGCCCUUACAGCUUACAAAGUAAAGAUAACACUUACUCCUCCAAGAAAUUGAUUUCAGCUAAGCAAAACAUUGAUACAGGGCUAUAAUGGAAGUGUUGGACUCAUAAACGUUUUAUGAAAUCAGUGUGUGUGUAUUACAGAAAUCAGAAAUGAGAAGUAAGAACAUGUCUGGGAGAGUGUGACAUAAGAAAAAUAACUUGUAGGCGUAUUUAACAGACAGCAGCAGUUCUCAGGAUUCCCCAUGUUAGAGCCUUCCUUCCUGUCCUCUGAGAAAUGAAAAUGAAAUCCAAAGACCCCCAACUGACUACACGAACCCCCUACUGGCUAAGGAGAUCCCAGGGUUGCCUUGAAGGCAGUUCUCAGCCAUGACAGAUGGGAGUUUCGGCCCAAUUGACCAGUAUUCCUUACUGAUAAGAGACACUGACCAUGGAGUGGUUCUGUCUCCCUCUGUUGCCGAGGCUGGACUGUACUGCCGUGAU